rnacentral:rRNA from 1 species
CAGCGCAAAGGGAUACGUAUCCAUGCCGUCAGGGGUUGUUAAUACCUCAGGAAGUCCUAACAAGGUAACCAGAUAUUGUGAUCCCCGUAGAGUUUGUAUCCCGGCUCAGUGAGGCAUAACAAGGGAACCCGGGUUGUAUUCCCUCGUACUUCCUGACGGAUAAAGUGGGGGAUCUUCGGAUGUUUCUUUUGUCUAGUAGGUCGUGUUUUAAUUUUUUGGUUGGGGGACAGAGUGAUCGUGGUGGCAGAGUGCGAGGGCGCGAGAGUGUUAGUAUGUAGGCGUGGGCGGUAGCGAGCUGACGAGUAGCGUAUGUCGUGUGUACUAUGUGUGAUAGAGAGUAUAGUAGUGUCAGCAUCAUUGUGAGAUCUCGAUAGUUAUGAUGUGAGUUCCUUGUGUGAUUAGUGAGACUAGAGCGAAUAAGUGUGAUGGAAUUUACGACAAUUAAGAUGAGUGUAGUUUUAGCAGUGUGACUGAGUGUUGCGAGAGGCUGGUCAGUGGAGUGGUAUGCGAGUAUACAUGAGAGUGUGCUACGAAUAUAUAGAUGAGUGUGGUAACGUCUCUGUGAGCGUAAUGCCGUGUUUGUGAGUUGAGUGGCAUAGCGUAUAUGCAUAUCGUCACAGCUUUGUACAUAGUGUGUGACGUGUGGCCGCACCCGCACUCCUCGCGCAUACUGGCAAUACACUGACACAUUGAAGGUGCAGACAGCGUGGGGAGCCAAACCAGGAUUUAGAUACCCUUGGUAUUCCACGACCGUAAACGAUGUCGACUAGCCGUUGGGGAUCCUUGAGAUUUUAGUGGCGCAGCUAACGAGAUAAGUCGACCGCUUGGGGAGUACGGCCGCAAGGUUAAAACUCAACUGAAUUGACGGGGGCCCGCACAAGCGGUGGAGCAUGUGGUUUAAUUCGAAGCAACGCGAAGAACCUUACCUGGCCUUGACUGCUGAGAACUUUCCAGAGAUGGAUUGGUGCCUUCGGGAACUCAGACACAGGUGCUGCAUGGCUGUCGUCAGCUCGUGUCGUGAGAUGUUGGGUUAAGUCCCGUAACGAGCGCAACCCUUGUCCUUAGUUACCAGCACCUCGGGUGGGCACUCUAAGGAGACUGCCGGUGACAAACCGGAGGAAGGUGGGGAUGACGUCAAGUCAUCAUGGCCCUUACGGCCAGGGCUACACACGUGCUACAAUGGUCGGUACAAAGGGUUGCCAAGCCGCGAGGUGGAGCUAAUCCCAUAAAACCGAUCGUAGUCCGGAUCGCAGUCUGCAACUCGACUGCGUGAAGUCGGAAUCGCCAGUAAUGGUGCCUCAGAAUGUCACUCUGGGUUCGUUAAGUGGCAACAAGGAAACCAGUA